AUUGAACGCUGGCGGCAGGCUUAACACAUGCAAGUCGAACGAGUGGCGGAUGGGUGAGUAAUGCUUGGGAAUCUAGCUUAUGGCGGGGGAUAACUACGGGAAACUGUAGCUAAUACCGCAUACCAUCGGAUGUGCCCAGAUGGGAUUAGCUAGUGGGUGGGGUAACGGCUCACCUAGGCGACGAUCCCUAGCUGGUCUGAGAGGAUGACCAGCCACACUGGAACUGAGACACGGUCCAGACUCCUACGGGAGGCAGCAGUGGGGAAUAUUGCACAAUGGGCGCAAGCCUGAUGCGGCCAUGCCGCGUGUAUGAAGAAGGCCUUCGGGUUGUAAAGUACUUUCAGCGAGGAGGCGUUACUCGCAGAAGAAGCACCGGCUAACUCCGUGCCAGCAGCCGCGGUAAUUC
rnacentral:rRNA from 1 species